UUUCCAUCUUCCAGGCAGAAAGGGGGUUGGGGGUUUGCAAAGGGAGUAGCCUCCAGUCCUUCUGUUACUUAGGUGUGGAAAGUUGGGGUUUUCCUUUUGAUUUAGUUCUACGAAGUCAGAGUGAAUCAGCCUUAGGUUCCCUGCCUCCAGACCCUAUUCUCCUGCCUCACAAGAGUUGAAGAAAGACCACCAGACAUCCAAGCUGCAUGAGGAGAGGCUCACGUAGGGGGAAACCGAGGUUUGCAGCAGCGACUCGCCAGGCGUGUGAGUGAGCCAACCUGGAAGCAGAUCCUCCAGUUCCAGUGAAGUGUGUGGAUGACAUCAGCUCCAGCCUUCAUUUUGACCACAACUCAUGAGAUGCCCUAAGCCAGAACCACCCUUGAAGCUGCUUUUAAAUUCCGAAAGUGGAAAUAAUAUAUUUUAUUGUUUUAAAUCACUACAUUUUGGGGUAGUGAUUUGUUUUGCAUGCCAUUUGUUAUGUUGCAAUGGAUAACCAAUACAUCUUGACUUUUGGAAACCAUGAGGAGGGAUCAAUGUUUUAAAAAGAUUCAUUGUCCUCAUUUAGGUAGUCACUAUUAUUAUUUCUUAAGGGAGUAUGCCUACCAGGACUAUAACAUUUCCAAGGAAGUGUUUAUGAAUACAGCACUGCCAUGGAUAUUUAAAAGCAAGCUUGUGGAUUCCACACCAGCUUUGAAAUAGAAUAUCUGGCACCUAGCAGUUAGCAUAAGAUAAAAGGAAUUAUUUCCCAAAUAAAGCCAUAUGUUAUUGCUAUCAUCAUCAUCAUCAUCACCAUCACUGCCAUUAAACAUCUAGGUGCAGAUAAUACCCAUAAUAGUGUCCCUUUGAAUGAGAGAAAUCAACAAAGGUCCCAAAAGGCAAUUGCACAGGUCCUUAUUUACUGAUUUUUCCUAAAUAAUCAAAUAGAUCUUUUACCUUAAAUGCAGAUAAUAUCAUAAUUCAUCAAACUAAUUUAUAAUGGUGAACUGCCGCUUAAAUAUUGUCUUAUAAAUGAUGCCUUUUGAAGUUAAAAGUGAUGUUGAUUCAAUCAAUUUUGAAAAAAUAUCUAGAACAUAUUAAACAAAUGAUAUUAGAAGUGAAAAAAACUGUCUUCUAUUAAGUCUUCUAAGAAAGACAAUUAUGAUAAGUUCCUGGUCAGAUAAAAACCAUUCCAUCAUUAAAGGAAAUAAAAAGAAGCAU
rnacentral:lncRNA from 10 species